ACAGAGAUCCUGAUGUGCUUUGUAAAUGGAAAUUCAGAAGGGAGCUGACUUUCGAGAUCAACAGAUCAAACAUACAGCUAGGACUUUCAGUCCAUUGAACUAUAAUGCAUAUGAAGACUCGACUACAAAUGUGUUGCUUGAAGAGUGCUGCUCCAGCAGCCGUGAUGUCCGAAGAAGGUGGAGACUGAUGUGUUGUCAGCAGCACAAACAUGCUCCCUGCAGAUGGAAGAAGCCUGCAGGAAGCCCCAGGGGCUGAUGCUCCCACCCUUUGGGGCACGAAUGCUGAGGGCUGCUCUGGUGUUCCCUCAGACCUAGCACUCUCUUUGCCUGCCACAACUGUAUUGUUUUCCUUUAGUUUCUACUUUAAACAUUGCCACCAGAUUGCAGUGCCUCUGCUUUUUGUUCAUCUUUCUGAGUGUAUAUAUGUAUCUAUCUAUAUAUAUAUCUAUAUAUAUAGAGAGAGAAGAGUGCAAAGGGAGUGAUGGUGUCAACACUGAGAGCUGUGAGAGUGAUUCGUAGUUCUGUACUUAUUUCUUCUGCAAAAAAGGCAAGGACACCUGCAAAAUAGUACUAUCCAAACAACUAGAAAAAUAACACCUCCUUUACCAAAACCACCAAAUCAUAUGGAUAUUUUAGUUUUAUUUUUUGUCUGUAUCAGAAAGACACAUCAAAAUUAUUCCUCCAGUUUUUGAGGGUUUUUCCUAUUUUUCCUAUGUCAACAGAAAACUAGAAUAGAAGGACUUACAUUUUUGUAAAUGUAAGUUUUUAAGCAUGUUUUGCCUUACUGCAACAUUCAGUAAUGAAAAUAUUGAUCUUAUUAACUGUGCUAAUUAGAGCUGAACGAAAUACCUCCAGCAACAGCUAGUGAAUAUGCAAUGGAAUAACAAUUCUGAAAUUGCUUUUCCAGUGUUUACAGGAGAUGAAUAUCAUCAGGAAUAAGUUUACUGUCAAGAAUAUUGUGAGAAGAGGUCAUGGAAAAUAUUUGCACACUGUACAUUUUAAAUUCAUGUUUUGGUACGAGAAGUUUCUCUUGUAAAAUCAAAUAAUACUUUUAUUUAUUUAUUUAUUUAUUCCAACUAAUCUGCUUAGGAGAAACAGAAUUAACCAGUGUUCGCUGCAUGAGUUCAAUUCAGAGUAAUCCCCAGAUGCCAUAGACUCAGAGUAGCAUAUUUACAAACUUCUUAAAGAAAGAAAUAUGCCUUGAGUACUUUGGAACUACGAAGUGGUGAUACCUGUGGAGAAAUGGCUUCCUCCCUUCUGACAAUGACCCUUGGUAAAGCCUGUGAUGGCAAAUGAUGAGCGUGCACUGAGCUUAGAGAAAAUGUGCUUUAAUACAUAUUAAAAUAGUUUUAAGUCUUUUGCAUAUUGGAAAAGACAAUUCUAUAAACU
rnacentral:lncRNA from 7 species